rnacentral:rRNA from 1 species
UGGGGAAUAUUGCACAAUGGGCGCAAGCCUGAUGCAGCCAUGCCGCGUGUAUGAAGAAGGCCUUCGGGAUGUAAAGUACUUUCAGCGGGGAGGAAGGGAGUAAAGUUAAUACCUUUGCUCAUUGACGUUACCCGCAGAAGAAGCACCGGCUAACUCCGUGCCAGCAGCCGCGGUAAUACGGAUGGUGCAAGCAUUAAUCGGAAUUACUGGGCGUAAAGCGCACGCAGGCGGUUUGUUAAGUCAGAUGUGAAAUCCCCGGGCUCAACCUGGGAACUGCAUCUGAUCCUGGCAAGCUUGAGUCUCGUAGAGAGGGGUAGAAUUCCAGGUGUAGCGGUGAAAUGCGUAGAGAUCUGGAGGAAUCCCGGUGGCGAAGGCGGCCCCCUGGACGAAGACUGACGCUCAGGUGCGAAAGCGUGGGGAGCAAACAGG